rnacentral:lncRNA from 1 species
CUUAGAAAUUAAAUUUGGGGAAACAUAAAUAUUUUAAUUAUUAAUUUAUUUUUUGGUCCACUCACUCUAAUGUUAUUAAAUGUUUUCCCCUGGGCCCUUCGUUUUAAAUUGCCCAGUCUGCAGAGUUCGGGUUGGAUCUAGUAGGAGACGAGGCAUAGUCACCCGUCUUUUCGGCCUAGUUUUCAUCAGUAGGUUACCUGUUCAACCUACUUGUGUUUUCUUGCUUCCGCUUGUGUUUAGUAGCUCUGAAUACUUUAGAAUUUUGUAUAUUAUGUGAUAUUCAGAAGCGUUAAAUUAAGAGUGUAAUAUGAAAUUUUCGAGUUAGGGUUGUCCAUCUGCAAGGGAGAUUUUCUUAAUCUUUUCAGUAAAUUUUCCUUGGAGGUGGUCCCCGCACGACUUACUCUGGGUUUCAGGGUGAAAUUCGGGGUGGGUCGUGUCAGUAGAUCACUUCAUUUAACGAUCUCAGUCGUUGAUCAUCUAGAUUCAUAUGCAAGAAACAUGUCUACAAAAUUUCAACUAAUUCCAUAAUCAUUUGGUCAUUCAAAUUGAUGUAAACAAUUGUAGGCCGUUAGAUAAAAUUAAAAAGAAUAUUGUGUUAAUCAAAUGGUUAAACGUUUUUCAUUUUGGCUAAUUUUUUGUAUGAUUCAUACGUGGGUAAGUAGUUAGGGAAUGAGUGGCUUUGAUUGUCAAAAUACAUGCUAUAACUAAAAACAUCCUUACUUUAAGAAUUUAAGGAGGUCUUCUCUAAAUCCAGACUCUCUAUGUAUAGGCCAUAUCAUGUAUCGAAUUUUGAAAAUAAAAUAAAAAAGAAAAAUCGCUAUCGAAUUUCUUUUGGAUGAUUACGUAUAUAUAUACUUUAUUUUGGACGAAUUAUAUAUUUAUAUAUAUGUAAAAAAAAAUUGGACGAAAUUGUUUUUUCUUGGACAAAUUAUAUAUGUAAAUAUAGAUUUAUAAGAAUUC